GGAGGGCGGGGUCUGAGGCGCAGGGCAAACGGAGGUGGUCGUCAUGGGUUGGCACUCCCCCAUUACCUCUUCCCCGUGCUGCGAAGCUCGAAACGGUCCUGCUGGCAGAGCCGAGGGCUGAAGCGUAGGGAGGGUGGGGUCGAGCGCUACAGUGGGGCUUGGGAUGUGUUUGACGGCGAGACCCCUCCCCAGGUCCGCGCUGAGGGUUUGGAGGUGAAUGCGGAGCAGGAGGGAAGGCGGCCGUUGAACUGUGGUGAUUGAGGGAAGGCUGUUGAAGAACCUCGACCCGAGCCAUUCUAUUCUCUCUCUCCCAAAGAGAGCAAGCUGUUGAAGCGAGGGGAACGGUGACCCAUUCCUUUAUAAUGCCGCAACAAUAUGUAGGGUUCGGAAAACUAAGUAUUUCUGGCUCUUCACGUGCUGUUUUUUUACGUUGCUUUACAACACGCUGAAAUUUUCCUAAAAUAGUGUGUGUGGAGGGUUUCUUAUUUUUCGCCUUUCGUCAGCAAAUUGUUGCACUUGUUCCGUGGGUCGGUUUUGUUUCCCGAGUGCAGUUGAAACAGAUAGUUUCAUUUUGUUAAAGUGUCCUGUCCAAACAGUCGUAAAGGGAAAACAGAACAAGGCUUAGCGUCCUUGCCUUGCCAUUGCUGAGUUAAGGAAGCUCAGGAUGUGUUCAACUUUUGAAGUCGAUUCACUCAAACAUCGGGAAACUGCUACACACAAACAGAAGGGUCCCAAUCCCGUCUCCUUGAAUAGAGAAUGGCGCAAGGUUGCAUCGUAUUUAUUCUCGUGAUUGCCAUUUUGGAAGAAAAGCAAAACAUAUAAAUUUAUAUCUAAACGUUUGUUAAAGUUAUAGUAAACGAAAGUUCAGUUGAGCACCACUCCUCAUGUUACUACUGCUUUUGAUCUGGAUUAAGUAACAUCCCUUUGCAGGUUUAGUAGGGAUUUUAAUAGAUUUGGACUCUGCCAGUAUUUCCUGCAGUGUUUCUAAAGAAAAGUGCAUAUUAAGUAAAUCAUGCUGUGGGAUGAUGCAGAUGGCAUAUAGUAGUCAUGACUGAUGUUGAUGAAACAACAGGAGGGAUCAGGGGCAUGUGGGAUGUACUAUUCUUCAAGGAAGGGACACCAGGGAAAACCAGGACAAUUUAAUUGCUGAGGCCAGUGGGGCAAUCUGCU